rnacentral:rRNA from 1 species
AUUCCAGCUCCAAUAGCGUAUAUUUAAGUUGUUGCAGUUAAAAAGCUCGUAGUUGGAUUUCGGGUGGGUGUUAGCGGUCCGGCUCUGCUGUGUACUGCUAGUGCCUAUCUUUCUGUCGGGGACGGGCUCUUGGGCUUCAUUGUCCGGGACUCGGAGUCGACGUGGUUACUUUGAGUAAAUUAGAGUGUUCAAAGCAAGCGUUCGCUGUGAAUACAUUAGCAUGGAAUAACACGAUAGGACUCUGGCUUAUCUUGUUGGUCUGUAAGACCGGAGUAAUGAUUAAGAGGGACAGUCGGGGGCAUUCGUAUUUCAUUGUCAGAGGUGAAAUUCUUGGAUUUAUGAAAGACGAACUUCUGCGAAAGCAUUUGCCAAGGAUGUUUUCAUUAAUCAAGAACGAAAGUUGGGGGCUCGAAGACGAUUAGAUACCGUCGUAGUCUCAACCAUAAACGAUGCCGACUAGGGAUUGGCAGGUGUUUCGUUGAUGACCCUGCCAGCACCUUAUGAGAAAUCAAAGUUUUUGGGUUCCGGGGGGAGUAUGGUCGCAAGGCUGAAACUUAAAGGAAUUGACGGAAGGGCACCACCAGGCGUGGAGCCUGCGGCUUAAUUUGACUCAACACGGGGAAACUUACCAGGUCCAGACACGGGGAGGAUUGACAGAUUGAGAGCUCUUUCUUGAUUCUGUGGGUGGUGGUGCAUGGCGGUUCUUAGUUGGUGGGUUGCCUUGUCAGGUUGAUUUCCGGUAACGAACGAGACCUCAGCCUGCUAAAUAGUCACGGCUACUUUUUUGUAGCCGUCCGACUUCUUACAGGGACUAUUGUCGUUUAGCAAUGGAAGUGUGAGGCAAUAA